rnacentral:rRNA from 1 species
GACGAACGCUGGCGGCGUGCUUAACACAUGCAAGUCGAACGGAAAGGCCCUGCUUUUGUGGGGUGCUCGAGUGGCGAACGGGUGAGCAACACGUGAGUAACCUGCCCUUGACUUUGGGAUAACUUCAGGAAACUGGGGCUAAUACCGGAUAGGAGCUCCUGCUGCAUGGUGGGGGUUGGAAAGUUUCGGCGGUUGGGGAUGGACUCGCGGCUUAUCAGCUUGUUGGUGGGGUAGUGGCUUACCAAGGCUUUGACGGGUAGCCGGCCUGAGAGGGUGACCGGCCACAUUGGGACUGAGAUACGGCCCAGACUCCGACGGGAGGCAGCAGUGGGGAAUAUUGCACAAUGGGCGGAAGCCUGAUGCAGCAACGCCGCGUGCGGGAUGACGGCCUUCGGGUUGUAAACCGCUUUCGCCUGUGACGAAGCGUGAGUGACGGUAAUGGGUAAAGAAGCACCGGCUAACUACGUG